rnacentral:rRNA from 1 species
GACGAACGCUGGCGGCGUGCUUAACACAUGCAAGUCGAACGGAAAGGCCCUGCUUUUGUGGGGUGCUCGAGUGGCGAACGGGUGAGUAGAACGUGAGUAACCUGCCCUUGACUUUGGGAUAACUUCAGGAAACUGGGGCUAAUACCGGAUAGGAGCUCCUGCUGCAUGGUGGGGGUUGGAAAGUUUCGGCGGUUGGGGAUGGACUCGCGGCUUAUCAGCUUGUUGGUGGGGUAGUGGAUUACCAAGGCUUUGACGGGUAGCCGGCCUGAGAGGGUGACCGGCCACAUUGGGACUGAGAUACGGCACAGACUCCUACGGGAGGCAGCAGUGGGGAAUAUUGCACAAUGGGCGGAAGCCUGAUGCAGCAACGCCGCGUGCGGGAUGACGGCCUUCGGGUUGUAAACCGCUUUCGCCUGUGACGAAGCGUGAGUGACGGUAAUGGGUAAAGAAGCACCGGCUAACUACGUG